UUUUGGGGGGACGGUGCCAACGAGAACGGUGUUUCUGCAGCUCCGCGGCUGGUGAUCUCUGCCUUUUCAUUACUUUAAAAGAGUUGCAGUAAAGCACCAUUGCUCUGCAACCAUGAAUGCGGGCCCCUCAGUAAAGUUGAGUUCGUACGCGCAGAAUUUAGAGGCGAAUGCGAAGAACCGCUACGUUAAGAAAGUGGAGCUUUGCGGUGGCGUCGAUCCACUUUUGCUUACUUCGAAAGAAACGUCGUUCGAUCUCGCGCUCGUGCGUAAAGUAUAACUUUCGGACAUCAAGGAUUACAUUGUGCACACGACGAGUUUCAUCACCCACGAACAACUGAAGGCCAAAAAAUCUCGAGUCGCAUAAUUACCUGACCAGCGGAUUCGUGCAAAGAGCCCCAGCUGCGAAGACGCGGCGAUCAAAACAUCGCGCGCACCAAGGUUAACCACUCUCAGGCGAUUUCACCUCAGCCACUAGAGCCAUGGCUUCUAGUCAAGCAGGAUGGCAUGGUUAAAGCUGCGCAUUGCACCUGUAUGGCCGGUCUCGGUGAAGCCUGCUCGCACAUUGGGACACUGCUCUUCCAUUUAGAAGCAGCUUGUGUUGUGUUGCAGUGUUAUCCCUACCUUCAGUGCUGCACAUGUCUGGUCUUUUGGGAGGUUCUUGCUUUGACAUGCGUGGCUUGGCAUGUAAUUUACAUUACAAAAACAUGGUUGCUUAAGGCAAAUGUAGGGGGCAAGAUGAACUUUAUUCCCAGCAGUUUCGUUUCUGUUGGCGCAAACAGUGGAUUUUUAGGAAGAUUCCUGCUUCAACAUAAUGGGCACAGCACGUGCGUUAUGUGCAUGAGAAAACAUAUGGUCAAUUAACGCAAGAAGGGAUUCUAAGGACUUAAAAAAGCGCUUUUGAAAGACAAAUUCAGGUAGAAAAAUGAACUUUAUUUCCUGCUUUUGUCCUUACUGCAUCGGUGUCUGAAACUUCGUUCAGAGUUCGUACAAGUUUCAGAGGCAGAAAUUACGGUCAUUGAAGACCCCCGUCAAUGCUUCUUCAAUGGACGCCAGGUCCUGCAAGGCCACUCCCAAUCGCAGCCUCAUUAGUGUGAGUACAAAUUCUUGGAAUUUCGCAAGAGCAUUGUUUGGGCUGCGUGGCACACUACUUUCGACAAGUGUGAACAGUGAAAUCAGAACUGUGAAGCUUGGUAGGCCCGUGUAAAAUUGCACACGGGUGUUGUCAUGCUCCAAAGAAGCUUUCGACAGCCGAAGUGUGUCCAGAGAGCCCUUCACCUCCUGUAACUCGGUGCGUAGGACCUGGUUAUCAGCUUCAAAACUCUUCAGAACACUGCCUGUGAUGUCAGUUUGAGUUUCAGCAUCCUUUAGCACUGAAAGAAAUGUAUAGGCAAUACAUUACUACGCAUUUGCCAGUCAGGUGCAGAGUGCUUGAGAUAUUUGUCACAUUACUUACAUGAAGUGGUAUUUACUGAAGCUUCAGCUGUCUAAGUGGUGGCUUGAACACCAGCUUCAGAAAACUUUACAUCUGAUAAAAAAUGCAGGAAUGCGACUCUUAGAAUCCCUUGUGUUAAACACUUCCGGUUUGCUCCAACUGAACGAAUGCAGUACUCACAAUAUGAGGCAUCCACUACAACUCCAACUGGAGAACCCAUUUCAGCUGAGGCCCUGCCUUCCUCGGGCGAUUGCACAGAUGGUGGGUCUGCAAUGAGGUGUUGUCAAUCAUUGAAGUUAUGUUCCUAAAUUAAAGUAUCGGGCCGUUUGAACUGUGUAAACACAAAUCACUCAAUAAACGUCAGCAACAGUAUCAUCAGCAUCUUGAGCUACGGUUGAAGCUGGUACUUGUUGCAGCAUGGAUUGACCUGCA
rnacentral:lncRNA from 1 species